rnacentral:rRNA from 1 species
UUGGAGGGCAAGUCUGGUGCCAGCAGCCGCGGUAAUUCCAGCUCCAAUAGCGUAUAUUAAAGUUGUUGCAGUUAAAAAGCUCGUAGUUGAAUUUCGGGAUUGGCGCAUCGGUCGUGCCUCACGGGGUAUGAACUGGUGCAGUCAAUUUCUCACCUUCUGGAGAACCGCGAUGUCCUUAAUUGGAUGCCGCGGGGAACCAGGACCUUUACUUUGAAAAAAUUAGAGUGUUUAAAGCAGGCAUUUUUGCUUGAAUACAUUAGCAUGGAAUAAUAAGAUAGGACGGCAUGGUUCUAUUUUGUUGGUUUCUAGGACCACCGUAAUGAUUAAUAGGGAUAGUUGGGGGCAUUAGUAUUCAAUUGUCAGAGGUGAAAUUCUUGGAUUUAUUGAAGACUAACUACUGCGAAAGCAUUUGCCAAGGAUGUUUUCAUUAAUCAAGAACGAAAGUUAGGGGAUCGAAGACGAUCAGAUACCGUCGUAGUCUUAACCAUAAACUAUGCCGACUAGGAAUCAGACGAUGUUAAUUUUUUAAUGACUCGUUUGGCACCUUACGGGAAACCAAAGUGUUUGGGUUC